CUGCCAACAAGUUAUAUAAUUUGAUAUAUGUUUGCAUAUGUUUCACUUUGUCAGUUAUUUGCAUCUAUAUUUAGCUGAUCAUGUAAGGGUGGAACAACA